GCCAGCCGGCAUUUACUACGUUACUAUACGCCAACGACACUCCGGUUGAGCCGGCGCAGCGUAUAAGUCGCGAGUCGUUCCUGCCGAAUACUCGUUCUUUUGUUUGUGCGCGUUCCCACCCCCCGACGGCGCCUGGACUAUUGAACUGUGGACGAACUCUGAGCGUGGCCAUUAACCGAGGACCAGCGCGGGAACCCCUCGUCACGGCUAGCGUCGUCCUCUACGAGCUUCGCAUCGAGCGUCCUAAACGCUCAAAAGGCAUUUCCAUUUCGUUUGUGCAUUUUUCGAGAUGGUCUAGCUGGCGAGGGUGGCGCACGCCUUAGAGAAGUUAAAUUCAGUUGCACUAGCUAGCGCUUACUAGGAUGUAUGGCUACAUCACAAGAUAACGUAAAGUUAGUUUUGUUGCUUAGCUGUAAGCCCGAGGUUUCGCGGGCAUGGCUUGCGGCCACACGGGUCUUCUCCGUGCCGGAAUCGAAGAGGACGGGCCACGUGUUGCGGGGUGGCGGCGUAUAGCUUCAGGUUUAGCGGUCACACAGCUUAGCUCACACUAGGCAGGCUAGCCGAUAGCCGUCCUCAUGCGACUGCGUCAGGGACAUGGACCCAUCCGUAUGGCCUUGCCACCCGACCCCACUAUUUCGUGACAAGGUAGCCUGCGCGCGGGAGUGCGCGGACUACCUUGCGAAAUCUAGCGAAAUGUGGACUCACGGUAGCAAGCGUCAUUCGGAAACUGCCUCGCCAGCUAUCAUGUACUAACCCGCUCUACGCAGCAGCUCUACGCCGGACGUCGCCUGCUGUGUUCGUCGGAGCAGGGCCGGGCAUCAGCUGCGAGCGUCACUCGCACCGCCGCACACAGUCUUCCGUCGUCGGUGCGGUCUUGUGGGCCUGGACUACUACGGGAUCCCGAGGUCCGCUUUCGAGAUUGCGGACCACGAGUAGAAAGGAUAUCCAGUGUGCUGCUCCACGUUUGCCAUCCUCCCAACGUCCCCCACCGGAGAUGGCCUUGAGCACUUCUUACCGUGGCUGACCGCGUUGGCUCCUUUGCAUUUCCACGUCCAUGGCGUCCUGCUGGCACGGGAGACUUCGUCUGCUACUACUGUCCACGUGUAAGAUGGAUAUCCAGCGCGCUGCUCCACGUUUGCCAUCCUCCCAACGUCCCCUUCAGGAGAUGGCCUAGAGCACCGCUCGCACCGUGGCCGACCGUUCCCCUUGGCCGGUGCGGUCUCGCUGGCAGGCGAGAUUGCUCAUCGCCCUGCUUUGC
rnacentral:lncRNA from 1 species